rnacentral:rRNA from 1 species
CCAGACUCCUACGGGAGGCAGCAGUGGGGAAUAUUGCACAAUGGGCGAAAGCCUGAUGCAGCAACGCCGCGUGAAGGAAGAAGGGUUUCGGCUCGUAAACUUCUAUCAACAGGGACGAAAGAAAUGACGGUACCUGAAUAAGAAGCCCCGGCUAACUACGUGCCAGCAGCCGCGGUAAUACGUAGGGGGCAAGCGUUAUCCGGAAUUACUGGGUGUAAAGGGUGAGUAGGCGGCAUGGUAAGCCAGAUGUGAAAGCCUGGGGCUUAACCCGAGGAUUGCAUUUGGAACUAUCAAGCUGGAGUACAGGAGAGGAAAGCGGAAUUCCUAGCGUAGCGGUGAAAUGCGUAGAUAUUAGGAGGAACACCAGUGGCGAAGGCGGCUUUCUGGACAAUAACUGACGUUGAGGCACGAAAGUGUGGGGAGCAAACAGGAUUAGAUACCCGGGUA